rnacentral:rRNA from 1 species
GAAGGUGUGCUGUGAGGCAUGCUGGAGGUAUCAGAAGUGCGAAUGCUGACAUAAGUAACGAUAAAGCGGGUGAAAAGCCCGCUCGCCGGAAGACCAAGGGUUCCUGUCCAACGUUAAUCGGGGCAGGGUGAGUCGACCCCUAAGGCGAGGCCGAAAGGCGUAGUCGAUGGGAAACAGGUUAAUAUUCCUGUACUUGGUGUUACUGCGAAGGGGGGACGGAGAAGGCUAUGUUGGCCGGGCGACGGUUGUCCCGGUUUAAGCGUGUAGGCUGGUUUUCCAGGCAAAUCCGGAAAAUCAAGGCUGAGGCGUGAUGACGAGGCACUACGGUGCUGAAGCAACAAAUGCCCUGCUUCCAGGAAAAGCCUCUAAGCAUCAGGUAACAUCAAAUCGUACCCCAAACCGACACAGGUGGUCAGGUAGAGAAUACCAAGGCGCUUGAGAGAACUCGGGUGAAGGAACUAGGCAAAAUGGUGCCGUAACUUCGGGAGAAGGCACGCUGAUAUGUAGGUGAAGCGACUUGCUCGUGGAGCUGAAAUCAGUCGAAGAUACCAGCUGGCUGCAACUGUUUAUUAAAAACACAGCACUGUGCAAACACGAAAGUGGACGUAUACGGUGUGACGCCUGCCCGGUGCCGGAAGGUUAAUUGAUGGGGU